UCCAAUCGUCCUCUGAUGCCUGAACACGAUCUGUGAGGACGUGUGUCUGUCCCUCGUGAGACCAUCGGGUCUGUGAGACUGUUAGAACCUGAGUUUCAUCAAACGUUUGACUCGUCGGAGAAAGACUCAGUCAAACUCAAAUUCAUAUAUCAGAAAGUCCUGACUCUCCUUCUCACUCGGCCGGACCCCAAGUGAAGCGGUAGCUGCCCCCCCUUGUGGUCUGAGCCUGUAGAACCCAACCUGGGGUCAAUCCCCGGGUGGAGGCAGUCCCACUUACUGCUAUGACCUCUGGGUAAAGGUCGUCCUCUGUGUUUAGAACGUGACUUCGGUGAUUCCACGAAGCAAAAGGGCGAAUUUUAGAUUGUGUUUUCAUUCUUGUACAAAAUAAAUCAACGUAGGAGAAGUCGGGACAUUGUAUUUUAUUUGUCUUUGUUUUAUUUUUGAAGUGCUGUGUGAAUAGGAACUUGUGACUCUAGGUGUAUUUGACCAAGUGACUUUUAUUCCAUUUUAUUUCGUUUAGUUUUACUCUGAGUUCCCGUAGGCGAUGUUAGUGAGUCUGUGGUAGUUUGAGAAUCCGAGAUCUGGUCACAUCAAAACAUGGAAAGAUUCUCCUGGUUGACGCUGACUUUUAAACUUAAUUCAGGUUAAUCACUUUAUAACUUAAGAUUCAUCCGAACAUGGCCGUGCUGCACGCCCCCCCAUCACCAGGCAGAUUCCAUGUUUCUGUUGCUCUGCGUUUUCCUCCGUAGCCACCGGCACAUAAUAUAUCAACAUAUCAGUCACUAAUGAUGUCAGAAUUUGGAUUUCCAUGUACAUAUCAACUUAGUGAAUGCUGCAGAGUACAAACCUACUAAAGUACAUGUGUGUAUUUACGGUGAAUACCUGAAUAUAACCGAUACGUGGGUUUAGCCACAGCAGGUGAAGCAGGACGUGAAGAGCCAGAAACUGUGUCCAGGUUUUUCACAUGUAAAACUAAACAAUUAAAAUUCAGAUGAGAUUCUCAUUCUCCCUUAAGGAUAACACUGUUUUCUUUCUUUGUUUUAUUUGGUUGUAAAUAUGUAUUUUGAAUAUAUAUCACUGUGUUUGUUUUUUGAAAUGGAUUAAUUUAUUUAAUGCCUGUGUCUUGUUGGUUUUCCGUGUCCUGGUUUUUUGUUUUACUAACUGGAAACGAGUCAAUGGGAUGAGAAGUGGAGCAGAACAGGCAGCGACACUUUCAUAACACGUUCUUCUCUUCUGAGACGUUUCUGAUUAAUCUGCAACAACGAGAGGAAAAAAAGAAAAAUCUCAUUCCACUGUAUUAUCGGAUGUGUAACAUAUUAUGUUUUACUGUGUCGUACUUGCUCAGACGUGUCGUGGUCACUGCUUGUAAAACGAUUUUAUUCAGAGUUUCCGAAAUCAUGACAAAAGAUAAGAGCGCUCACAAAAAACCAUCACCCGCCAUUUUGUUUGUACGUGUCGUCGUGUCGCUAGCACGUCGUGUCGACCGCGGGAAACUGAGCGAAGAUCGAGUCGUACGUCGAGAUGCAGAGAAAAGAUUUCAGUCCUUUAACAACAAUUAAAAAAUCUGUUCAAUAUUGAAUAAAUAAAUAAUUUAACUGUGUAUAAGCAACUCAGCAAUAAGUACUUUGAUUUCGUUUAAGAUCCAGAAGCUGGAGAUAGAUAAAACUGAUGAGUCUUUACACGUUAGCCAACUAAUUAAAUUACAAAGUGAAGAUUUCUAAAACUCAAUGAAAUAAAACAUUAAAAAAACAUGAUUAUUUAAUAUCAAAUAUUGAUUUCGUGGUUGAUUUAUAUUUAUUUUUUAGCGCCAUUUCUUUAAAUCUACUGUUUAUAUAUUUAAUAUUGAACAAUUGAGGCUCCGUAGAUCUACUGGCUAUGUUUAGUUCUGAAUGUUUUAAGGCGACGGGGGAGACGGAACGUGAUGAAGAAGAUGAAGAGGAUGAAGAGGUGAAUGCAGAUCAGUGCUGAGCAGAUAGUGGAAGUAGUGACGAGUAGUUUUGAGGUUUGAAGCCGUUAGAGAUGAGAAACAUCACGUGUCUGCAGUGAGCAGCGUUUUGAAUGUGGCAGUUCUUGCACUAGCACACUGAUCGAAGUCUGAGCUGAUGUUUCUAUCUGGAGAGGUGUGAUCUGUCUCCGGGCUCAACAUGAGGGGACAGGACAGAGAUGUCUUAUCAAGGUCUGAUCUGUCUCUGUGGUGACUUGAGGGGACAGGAUAGAGAUGUCUUAUUAAGGUGUGAUCGCUCUCUGUGGUGACUUGAGGGGACAGGAUAGAGAUGUCUUAUCAAGGUCUGAUCUGUCUCUGUGGUGACUUGAGGGGACAGGACAGAGAUGUCUUAUUAAGGUGUGAUCGCUCUCUGUGGUGACUUGAGGGGACAGGACAGAAACGUCUUAUCAAGGUCUGAUCUGUCUCUGGUGACUUGAGGGGACAGGAUAGAGAUGUCUUAUCAAGGUGGGAUCUGUCUCUGUGGUGACAUGAGGGGACAGGACAGAGACGUCUUAUCAAGGUGUGAUCUGUCUCUAUGGUGACUUGAGGGGACAGGACACAAACGUCUUAUCAAGGUCUGAUCUGUCUCUGUGGUGACUUGAGGGGACAGGACAGAGAUGUCUUAUCAAGGUCUGAUCGCUGUCUGUGGUGACUUGAGGGGACAGGAUAGAGAUGUCUUAUCAAGGUGGGAUCUGUCUCUGUGGUGACAUGAGGGGACAGGACAGAGACGUCUUAUCAAGGUGUGAUCUGUCUCUGUGGUGACUUGAGGGGACAGGAUAGAGAUGUCUUAUCAAGGUGUGAUCUGACUCUGUGGUGACAUGAGGGGACAGGACAGAGACGUCUUAUCAAGGUGUGAUCUGUCUCUGUGGUGACUUGAGGGGACAGGAUAGAGAUGUCCCAUUAAGGUGUGAUCUGUCUCCGGGGUCAACAUGAGGGGACAGGACAUGUGAAAUUGAACGAUAGAAUAUUGUAAGAAUAUGAAAUGCUGCAGGUGUGAUGAGCACUGUGGGAGGUUUCCUGCUCCGUCGGUUUCGACCUGUCCUCCUAAACCACGUGAUCGUUCGGUUGUGUCGGGCGACGUGCAGGCAGCUGAUUGGCUCAGAGGCGACGCAGCGACCUGGUGAUGUCAUCACGUCACUCAUCCAUUCACCACGUGAACCCGGUCGGACGCCAUGGACUCAAUGCUGUUAGAAACUUUUGCUGAGAUUUUCCUCUCACGGGCGAAAGACGCACUUAAGGAUUUAUUUUGCAGCGACUGCAAUGAAAUAUGACAUGAGGUGUUAUUAAAGAUAAAUUCAAAGAUGUGGCUUUUUGUCAUGAUUUAAAUGAGACUGAACUGAAAUUAUGCCAUUGUCAUUGUGCUAAAAUGAAUAUAAAUAUUAUAUAUUAAAAUAUAUUUGCUAACCUA